rnacentral:rRNA from 1 species
UACGUAGGGGGGCGAGCGUUGUCCGAAGUUACUGGGCGUAAAGCGCGCGUAGGCGGGAAAUUAAGUGAGAAGUGAAAGGCUGGGGCUCAACCUCAUGCAGUGCUUCUCAUACUGGUUUUCUUGAGGGCGGUAGAGAAAAGUGGAAUGGCUGGUGUAGCGGUGAAAUGCGUAGAUAUCAGUCGGAACACCGGUGGCGAAGGCGGCUUUUUGGGCCGUUCCUGACGCUGAGGCGCGAAAGCCAGGGGAGCGAACGGG